AGCGGCGGAUGGGUGAGUAACGACGUGGGUAACCCUGCCCUGCGAACUGGGGAAUAACAGUUGGAAACGACUGUUAAUACCGCAUAUGCGCACGAGGUCGCAUGACCUUGGGCGGAAAGAUUUAUCGGUGCAGGAUGGGCCCGCGUCGGAUUAACUAGUUGGUGAGGUAAUGGCCCACCAAGGUGAUGAUCCGUAGCCGACCUGAGAGGGUGACCGGCCACAUUGGGACUGAGACACGGCCCAAACUCCUACGGGAGGCAGCAGUGGGGGAUAUUGCACAAUGGGGCGCAAGCCUGAAUGCAGCGACGCCGCGUGAAGGAAGACGUAUUUCGGUAUGUAAACUUCUAUCAGCGGGGAAGAAGAUGACGGUACCCGACUAAGAAGCCCCGGCUAAUUACGUGCCAGCAGCCGC
rnacentral:rRNA from 1 species